GUGAACGCUGGCGGCAGGCCUCACACAUGCAAGUCGAGCGGCAGCGGGUCCUUCGGGAUGCCGGCGAGCGGCGGACGGGUGAGGAAUGCGUCGGAAUCUGCCUUUUUGUGGGGGAUAACGUAGGGAAACUUACGCUAAUACCGCAUACGACCUACGGGUGAAAGUGGGGGACCGCAAGGCCUCACGCAGAAAGAUGAGCCGACGUCGGAUUAGCUAGUUGGCGGGGUAAAGGCCCACCAAGGCGACGAUCCGUAGCUGGUCUGAGAGGAUGAUCAGCCACACUGGAACUGAGACACGGUCCAGACUCCUACGGGAGGCAGCAGUGGGGAAUAUUGGACAAUGGGCGCAAGCCUGAUCCAGCCAUGCCGCGUGUGUGAAGAAGGCCUUCGGGUUGUAAAGCACUUUUGUCCGGAAAGAAAUCCUGUCGGCUAAUACCCGGCGGGGAUGACGGUACCGGAAGAAUAAGCACCGGCUAACUUCGUG
rnacentral:rRNA from 1 species